AGUAAAGUGGCUGAGUUUAAGCGAUAAAUUGUAAAUUUAUUCACGGAGUUAUUCUCCCUUUGCUA
rnacentral:tRNA from 1 species